GUGGGAGGGGGCUUGCUCCCGAUGGCGGUGGGUCAGUUAUGAAUUCAGUGACUGACACACUGCAAUCGGGAGCAAGCUCCCUCCCAC
rnacentral:misc_RNA from 1 species